AGAGUAGGUCACAGUUAGAGAAGUCUUUCUGUACUUAAUGUUUUAGUUUUUACUUCCAUGUGAGAGGGGAAAUGCUGAUGAUUUCCAGAACAAGUCUUCUGAAUAAUGUGGAUGACCAAAGACAGAACUAUCUAUAAUCAAAAAUCAGCAUGGCUGACAUGGACAACUGAGCAGCAGACAGUAGAUCCAACCACAGAGUUGAUGGUUUUGAGGAAGACAAGUAACUUCAUUGCUUGUCUACUCUGCAGAGAAAGGGGACAAAGUUUGCACAUGGAUUCAGGUAAUGAUUUGUGUCUGCAUGGGACAUUGGAAGCCAUUGGCUUGCAUGAUUUUGUGUUUGAUAUAUAAAUAUGGGUCAGUGUGGUCUGUUGGUUGAUGAUUUAUGUGGAUAGGUUUAUUUGUGCCUUCUGAAAAUAGAAAAGGGCAAAGAACUUGUGUUAUGAGAGAGUAAAUUACAGAAUCUUCUGGUCAUG